rnacentral:rRNA from 1 species
AACGAACGCUGGCGGCAUGCCUAACACAUGCAAGUCGAACGAGACCUUCGGGUCUAGUGGCGCAAGGGUGCGUAACGCGUGGGAACCUGCCCUUAGGUUCGGAAUAACUCCCCGAAAGGGGUGCUAAUACCGGAUACUGUUUUCGGACCAAAGAUUUAUCGCCAUUGGAUGGGCCCGCGUUGGAUUAGCUAGUUGGUAGGGUAAAAGCCUACCAAGGCGACGAUCCAUAGCUGGUCUGAGAGGAUGAUCAGCCACACUGGGACUGAGACACGGCCCAGACUCCUACGGGAGGCAGCAGUGGGGAAUAUUGGACAAUGGGCGAAAGCCUGAUCCAGCAAUGCCGCGUGAGUGAUGAAGGCCUUAGGGUUGUAAAGCUCUUUUACCCGGGAUGAUAAUGACAGUACCGGGAGAAUAAGCGCCGGCUAACUCCGUG